AUUGAACGCUGGCGGCAUGCCUAACACAUGCAAGUCGAACGGGGCAGCAAUGCCUAGUGGCGGACGGGUGAGGAAUACGUAGGAAUCUGCCCUUAAGUGGGGGAUAACCAGGGGAAACCCUGACUAAUACCGCAUGAUCUCUUCGGAGCAAAGAGGGGGACCGCAAGGCCUCUCGCUUCUGGAUGAGCCUACGUCUGAUUAGCUAGUUGGUAGGGUAAAGGCCUACCAAGGCGACGAUCAGUAACUGGUCUGAGAGGAUGAUCAGUCACACCGGAACUGAGACACGGUCCGGACUCCUACGGGAGGCAGCAGUGGGGAAUAUUGGACAAUGGGCGCAAGCCUGAUCCAGCAAUGCCGCGUGCAGGAUGAAGGCCUUCGGGUUGUAAACUGCUUUUGUACGGAACGAAAAGUCUUGGGUUAAUACCCUGGGAUCAUGACGGUACCGUAAGAAUAAGCACCGGCUAACUACGUGCCAGCCGCCGCAGUAACAC
rnacentral:rRNA from 1 species